AAACUGCGAUAAGUAGUGUGAAUUGCAUUUAGUGAAUCUUCGAAUCUUUGAACGCACCUUGCACUCACUGGUAUUCCGGUGAGUACGCCUGUUUCAGUAUCAUUGAAAACACACAAUCAAAACAUUUUCUUUGGUUUGAUUGGCUUUGGGUCUAUCAAAAAGUUUGGCUUGUUUCUUACAAGCCAAGCGGCCUGAAAUAUAUUGUCUGGCUAAUUGCAUCGUUGAUGAUCGCUAUUAGACUUUGGCUUUUUUAAAUGAACUGGAGGUUGAUUAACCAGUUUUAGCUUUAGUCAAAUGGUCAUUGUAAAAAAAAUCUCGAUCUUGGCUAGGUGUUUAUAGCCGAAAAUUUUUUUUUGGCUAUAACCGAAACCAAUAUAAUCACAUUUAGUUAUCGAUCUGAAAUCAGGUGGGACUACCCGCUGAACUUAAGC
rnacentral:misc_RNA from 1 species